GCCCAUAUGGUCUAGUGGUUAGGAUUCUUGCUUUUCACACAGGUGGCCCAGGAUUAACUCCCAGGAUGAAAA